GCAUGCCUUUGUCUCAUUUAAGAUGAAAUUCUCAAGCAGACAUCAUUCCAUAAUUCCUCUGAGGUGCCAUCUGAAGAAGCCACUACAAUAGGCAAAUCAGUUACAAAGAGAGAUGUAAAUGAAGAUCAUGUUUCAGAGGCGAUUGACACCAGAGAAUCCCCUCUGUUCCUCAGAGAUGUACAAGGCCUUGCAACUAGCAUGACAGAAACAGCAGUUAGCCGAGGUGUCCGUGGUGGGAACAUGCCCUGUGCACAGCUGUUAAGCUUCAUGCGCCACAACAUCGUUGUCACUGCCUUUAUCGUGGGUGCUAUCUU